CUUGCACCCCGCUGACGAGCGGCGGACGGGUGAGUAAUGCUUAGGAAUCUGCCCAGUAGUGGGGGAUAGCCCGGGGAAACCCGGAUUAAUACCGCAUACGUCCUACGGGAGAAAGCAGGGGAUCUUCGGACCUUGCGCUACUGGAUGAGCCUAAGUCGGAUUAGCUAGUUGGUGGGGUAAAGGCCUACCAAGGCGACGAUCCGUAGCUGGUCUGAGAGGAUGAUCAGCCACAUCGGGACUGAGACACGGCCCGAACUCCUACGGGAGGCAGCAGUGGGGAAUAUUGGACAAUGGGGGCAACCCUGAUCCAGCCAUGCCGCGUGUGUGAAGAAGGCUUUCGGGUUGUAAAGCACUUUCAGUGAGGAGGAAGGCUCUGAGGUUAAUACCUUUUGGGAUUGACGUUACUCACAGAAGAAGCACCGGCUAACUCCGUGCCAGCAGCCGCGGUAAUA
rnacentral:rRNA from 1 species